rnacentral:rRNA from 1 species
AGCAGCCGCGGUAAUCCAGCUCCAAUAGCGUAUAUUAAAGUUGUUGCAGUUAAAAAGCUCGUAGUUGAAUUUCGGGGUCAGUAGGUUGGUCGUGCCACCGGUACGUACUGGUCUCACUGAUUCCUCCUUCCUGAUGAGCUGUAAUGCCAUUAAUUUGGUGUUGCAGGGAAUCUGGACUGUUACUUUGAAAAAAUUAGAGUGUUUAAAGCAGGCUAACGCUUGAAUACAUUAGCAUGGAAUAAUGAAAUAGGACGUUCGAUCCUAUUUUGUUGGUUUCUAGGAUUGACGUAAUGAUUAAUAGGGAUAGUUGGGGGCAUUAGUAUUCAAUUGUCAGAGGUGAAAUUCUUGGAUUUAUUGAAGACUAACUACUGCGAAAGCAUUUGCCAAGGAUGUUUUCAUUAAUCAAGAACGAAAGUUAGGGGGAUCGAAGACGAUCAGAUACCGUCGUAGUCUUAACCAUAAACUAUGCCGACUAGGGAUCGGAUGAUGUUAAUUUUUAAUGACUCAUUCGGCGCCUUACG